UUCAAGUUAUACAUAGGACUAAAAGAGCACAUGGCUUACCUAGGAGGUAAAGAUGAGAACAGCUUCUGCUUGCUGGGCACCGCCUUGAAAAGAAAUACUUUUGAUCGGCUUGGUGAGUAUUGACCUUCGGAUUACAUCAUUCGUGACUUUUUUUUUUUUUAAAUGUUAAACCUCUAUUGGAAAAAUACAUAUGUUGCUUUUAAAAUGGAAGCUUUCGACAGCAUUUAGAACCAUCCAUAUGUUAUCGGUUUAGGCCAAAUGAACCAGCCAAUUUGAGAUCUGAGUGUUGGAAAGCUUAGGUGUAUAGUCACUCGAAAUGUCUGUCGCAUCACAGCUUGUAGAAGUUAUUUCCAAACGUCCCUUCACUUACAUGAUGCUUCUCCGAGAAGAGGUCCUGUUCUCCUAACUGGGGCCAGCCAUCCUUUCCUGAUGCUCCUGUGUGUUAUGCCUGCCUCAGAAGCAUCAUGUUCCCUCUGUACUGACUGCAUCUUUUUUUAAAAAAAAAAGUUAAAAAAAGAUUUAUAUUGGAGUAUAGUCGGCCUGCCGUGUUGUGUUAGUUUCAGGUGGACAGCAAAGUGAUUCGGUUAUACACACACAAAUAUCCAUGCUUUUUCAGAUUCGUUUCCCAUAUAGGUUAUGACUGGAUAUUGAGUCAUGUUUGCUGUGCUAUGCAGUAGGUCCCCGCUGAUUAUCUCUUGUAUAUAUGGUCGUGUGCGUAUGUGAAUCCCAAACACCGAAUUUAUCCCUCCCCAACCCCCAACUGCAUCCUUUUUGGCGUCCUUCGGUUCCCAAGUACCUGGGCCCCCUCCUGGAGGGCACAGGACCUGCGGGUUCAGGGCCACGUGGAGGACCCCACCCGGCAGCUCUGAUGUCCUGUCUUGGAGAGUUGCACUGAGCGGGUCACUUCCAACCUGCCAUCAGGGUAGAGAAGGCUUGCUGGGAUGGGUGAUGGACUGGUUUCUCUGGGAAGAAACGCCAAAAAUGAUAUGGAUGGUACAGAGCUCUACUUGGGCUCUGUGCUUGAAGUCCAAGAAGAACAGGAGAAGUUUUCUCAUGCUCUUUCUGGAGUCCUCGUCAUUUCCUGGGAACCUCCAUAUGCCAAGGGAGCGGCCCUAGAAAAGGCAAACAAAGACAAAAAAAAAAGUUGUCUAUGACAGCUUUAUUCUCACCGAGAAUAAAGGCACGCAGCCUUCCCAUCGGAGUGCCCUCUUGAGAGGCUGCAUGCAUGUCUGCGCGAUUGUUUUCAUAAACUCAGAAUUUAGCUGCCAGCACUCAGGGCUCCCAUCGUGUGUAACCCGGUCUCUGCCCAGGAUCCGCCACGUUGUUCUCUCUCCCACUUGUCAAUAAAAGCCAAAGAUUUCUCUCACAGAAGCUCCGCAAUAAUUCCUGGGUCUGCAAGUCAUGUGCCCAAGGAAACUUUUUAAGUGGGGAAAAGGGUAGAAAUCCAGUUCAAACUCUUACAAGUUUUGGCGGAGGAGUCUAUGGACGAACAAAAGCUCCCUGGCAUCUUCUGGCAGACAUGUGAGAGAAGGCAGUGAUUGGAAUUAAUUUUUAGUGAGGGCUGCAUAUUUGAUAAUUGGUCUGAUUCACGCUAUUAUAUUCCUCUUCCUUCACCCACAGCAAAACAAGCUUAAUUUGAUUCAUCCCCUUAGGAAGAAAAAAAAAAAAAAA
rnacentral:lncRNA from 1 species